AAUUGGCAAGGUUCCCGGGGGAUAAUUUUGGUCGUAAGGGCGCGGUGUAAUUUUGGAAUCGGGGCAAGAAGUUAAAGGGGGUUUUUUUUUCCCACUGUGUCCCUUUACUUUCGGUUGACUUGGAUGAUGCCUGUCUCUUUUUGCAUUGUUUGCUUCCCCCCAGUGGGUGCAAAGCUUGCAACUAGAGCAGUGUCAUUGAUGGAUGCUACCUGGUGAUCCUAAGCAUGUAUACCAAUUAACCACCC
rnacentral:misc_RNA from 1 species